rnacentral:rRNA from 2 species
UACUCCUGACUGACCGAUAGUGAACCAGUACCGUGAGGGAAAGGCGAAAAGAACCCCGGCGAGGGGAGUGAAAAAGAACCUGAAACCGUGUACGUACAAGCAGUGGGAGCCCCACCACCAAAGCAUUUGCUGUACCGUGUUGACGGAGCGAAGCGACGUCAAACCGAUAAAACAGCAGUGUAAAGUGAGCCGCAGGGCGCUUUGCGCGACAGCGCAAAGGCAGGCGGUUUCGCGUAGCGAAAGCGAAUGCUUUGGGGUGGGGUGACUGCGUACCUUUUGUAUAAUGGGUCAGCGACUUAUAUUCUGUAGCAAGGUUAACCGAAUAGGGGAGCCGGAGGGAAACCGAGUCUUAACCGGGCGUUAAGUUGCAGGGUAUAGACCCGAAACCCGGUGAUCUAGCCAUGGGCAGGUUGAAGGUUGGGUAACACUAACUGGAGGACCGAACCGACUAAUGUUGAAAAA